rnacentral:misc_RNA from 1 species
GGAUUCUCAGGUUUGGGAACCACUGCAUAUAGAUUACAGUAUAACAUGAGAGGAUCCAUUGAAAGGUUAAAUCUAAAGAUUAAAGUUUUAGUAAUUAAUUUUGUGCUUAACCCUAAUAUUUAGUUGUUAAUUGCCAAAUGCCAAACGCAAACAAAUGAAACAAUUAAAAACAAACAUGCCUUGGUCAAUCUUGAUUUACUGAUCUCAAAUUUCUUAUUAUUUUUUCCCCUCAUUAUCAGCAGCAACAUAGUACCGUAGUAGACUCAUGAAGGUUAAUUAGUUAUGCAGCAAAGAAGAACACCCACAUCUCAAGAAAUGUUAUUUUGCAGUAAUAUAUAAGAAGUGGAGAUAGAAAUCCACUGACAUACCUUCUCAUCAACAUAGGCACCCCA